AGCACUACAACGGGUGGAGCCUGCGGUUUAAUUGGACUCAACGCCGGAAAACUCACCGGGGGCGACAGCAAUAUGUAGGUCAAGCUAAAGACUUUACCAGAAUCGCUGAGAGGAGGUGCAUGGCCGUCGUCAGUUCGUACUGUGAAGCAUCCUGUUAAGUCAGGCAACGAGCGAGACCCGUGCCCACUGUUGCCAGCAUGUCCUUCGGGAUGAUGGGUACUCUGUGGGACCGCCGAUGCUAAAUCGGAGGAAGGUGCGGGCUACGGUAGGUCAGUAUGCCCCGAAUCUCCCGGGCUACACGCGGGCUACAAUGACUGGGACAAUGGGCUCCUACCCCGAAAGGGGAUGGUAAUCUCAUAAACCCAGCCUUAGUUCGGAUCGAGGGCUGUAACCCGCCCUCGUGAAGCUGGAAUCCGUAGUAAUCGCGUUUCAACAUAGCGCGGUGAAUACGUCCCUGCUCCUU
rnacentral:rRNA from 1 species